rnacentral:rRNA from 1 species
UACGAAGGGGGCUAGCGUUGCUCGGAAUUACUGGGCGUAAAGCGCACGUAGGCGGCUUUCUAAGUCGGGGGUGAAAUCCUGGAGCUCAACUCCAGAACUGCCUUCGAUACUGGAGAGCUUGAGUCCGGGAGAGGUGAGUGGAACUGCGAGUGUAGAGGUGAAAUUCGUAGAUAUUCGCAAGAACACCAGUGGCGAAGGCGGCUCACUGGCCCGGUACUGACGCUGAGGUGCGAAAGCGUAGGGAGCAAACAGG